GACGAACGCUGGCGGCGUGCUUAACACAUGCCAGUCGAACGGAAAGGCCCUGCUUUUGUGGGGUGCUCGAGUGGCGAACGGGUGAGUAACACGUGAGUAACCUGCCCUUGACUUUGGGAUAACUUCAGGAAACUGGGGCUAAUACCGGAUAGGAGCUCCCGUUGCAUGGUGGGGGUUGGAAAGUUUCGGCGGGUGGGGAUGGACUCGCGGCUUAUCAGCUUGUUGGUGGGGUAGUGGCUUACCAAGGAUUUGACGGAUAGCCGGCCUGGGAGGGUGGCCGGCCACAUUGGGACUGAGAGACGGCCCAGACUCCUACGGUAGGCAGCAGUGGGGAAUAUUGCACAAUGGGCGGAAGCCUGAGGCAGCAGCGCCGCGUGCGUGAUGACGGCCUUCGGGUUGUAAACCGCUUUCGCCUGUGACGAAGCGUUUGUGACGGUAAUGGGUAAAGAAGCACCGGCUAACUACGUG
rnacentral:rRNA from 1 species